CCAAUUAAAUCACUCAUUGAUCCACUUGCUUCUUUCCCGAGCAGUUACCUCUCUCUCUCCCUCUCUCUCACGCGACCCGAUGUGAUGGCCUCCGCUGCCGUCGUGGACCACCUCUACCUCGAAGCCCUCCCUCUGAUCGACCUCCGCCUCCUCUCUCAGUCCGAGCUCUACUCGCUCUCCCUCUUCUCCUCCUCUUCUUACUCAUCCAACGAUAACGACGACGUUUUAAUCCCGAAAAUCGACCGCUCCGUCUUCAACGAAUCCGCUGGUAGCCGCAAGCAGACCUACUCUCGGCUCCGCCUAGCCCCUCGCAAGCCCCAAUCCACAUCUACCCCUUCCCCUACCCGCACCCGCACUCCCGCCCCCUUCUCUUCCACUCCGCGCCAAAUACCCGAACCGCUCGACGAAGAAAACUCCCAGAUCAUUUCCAUUCUCAAACAACUCUUCGCCGCCCAAGCUUCCACUGCCGAAAAUCCCGCCACCGCAGAUGACGACGAUAAACUAGUUUCGGUCCGAGUAGAAUUUGAAGAUGCCCUUCCGGAUUGGUGGAGUGCGGGCUUUCAAAAUGUGCCGAUUGACGUUGUUCCUGGUGCUGCUGGCGAUGGUGGUGGAGAGCAGAAGCGGAAGCGGGGGCGGCCGCGGAAGAACGAGAAUUGGAGGAUUGAGCCAAGGUCGGAGCAUAAGGCCGAGCCAAAUGUUCCAGUCGAUGUCGUUGUCAGCGAGGGGGAGAAGAAGCGAAAGCGAGGGCGACCGCGAAAGGAGGAGAAUCCAAUGAUCGAUAGCCGUCAGUCCGAGAGAGAGAUGGCUGUGGCGGAAGAAAAGGAGAUGGUGAUGGUGAACAAGAAAGGGGAUAUGGAGGACGUGGCUGCAUUGGCAAAUGUGGAAGAUCCGUAUGGCGAGGAGUUGAAGAGGAGGACAGAGGGGUUGCAGACCGAGGCGGAGUUGUUAGAAUUUUUGAGUGUGUUGCCUGGUGAGUCGAUGAAUAGGAGUAGGAAGAGGAGGAUUGUGCUGGCUAGCGAUUUCGGCCACGCGUUGCCUGAGGGGUGGAAGCUUAUGCUUACUGUCAAGAAGAGAGCCAGCCGUGUAUGGCUGCAUUGUCGCCGUUAUAUAAGCCCUAAUGGACACCAGUUUGUGUCGUGCAAGGAAGUUUCUUCAUACUUGCUCUCCUUUUUUGGACUCCAAGAUGCGAACCAACCAAGAUCUGGUCAUAUUGAUGAAAAUGUUCAGUUGUCCAGGAAAAUGGAUCGUGGAGAUGAUGCAGCUCUUAAACUUGAAGAUGGAAAGAAUGCUGAUGACCUUGUUAGCCGUUCACCACUACCCAUGACUUCUAUAUUAACUGAUUAUGCAAAGCAGGACACCUUGAAGACAGGGGAUCCAGUGGUUCACAUUGGGGAAAUUUUAAAAUGCGACAAAUGCACCAUAACAUUUGAUGAGAAGAAUGAUUUAGCACGCCAUCUGAUAACAGGUCACAAUAAUGGUGUAAUAAUUAAAGAUGGAAAAUAUGAAUGCGAGCUCUGCCAUAAAAUAUUUGAUGAGAGGCAACAAUACAAUGGCCAUUUUGGGGUCCAUGUGCCGAACUAUGUGAAGAGUGUUGACACUUCAGGAGAAGUAAUAAGCAAGCAGAAGCAUGUUGACCCUGCUCUUGCUAGAGUUCUGCUAUCAACCUCAAAGAUGCACAAAUCAAUUGGUAUUGACGGGGCAAAAACUUCCAUUGAAGCCAUUGAUGAACUGAGUUCUGGUUUUUCUCAUGGGUUAAUAAAAGCAGAUACUAUCAUCAAAACUUGUGGUGAUGUGGAUAGUCAUGCACUUGUUCUUUUAUCUCAUGACAAGGAAACCAUUAAGGCUGACAAAAAUGACCAAGCUUUGGUUGAGGAACAUAGUGAUAAGCGGGAUAAAAUUUGUGACAUGAAUAGUGAUAACUUGGGGAAGGUAGACGUGGCUACUGUUGUUGUUGAUAGAUGGAAUGCUUGUUCAGUUAAUGAAACUGCUUCCAUUAAUGAGAGUAGAAGUAUUUGUGAAUCUUCUUAUGAAAGAAACCUUCAUAAGGGCAUUCAUAGUGGAAUUAAUAGUAAUGUCGCAGAAAGUAGUUUUGAAAGUAGGUCGCUUGCUCCACCUGGAAACGAGAGAACUUUUGCUGUUGAAAACAAUGCGAUCAAGGUAUUCUUCCCAGCAGUGGAGGAGCCCAAGCCACAGAUAGGUUCUGAAAGUGGUUUGCUUGCUUUGAAUGGUAAGGAUAAAACAUGUAGUGGUGAAGAUAUUGAUGGUUAUACAUUUGAGAAUAAUGAGUCAGUAUCUGCUUUUGGAAAUCAUGACAGUGGGCUCAAGGAUCUUUGUCCUAAUGUCAAGCGGCAAUGUAGUUCUGAAGGCUUUUCACUUUUUCCAUAUAAAAAUGAACAAAGAUCAACUUUAGCAAAUAAGUGGAGUGGAAUUUUGAGUUCCUCGAUGUUGGAGUCUGUGCAGGAAAGAGGUUUUGGAAGUGUUUUAUGUAAUUCAUCUACUGAUGAGAAAACAUGUGUUGUUAGAGGUAAUCUGAAUUAUGUUUGUACUGGCACAUUGGAUGAGCCUAGAUUUGAUGAAGUAAAUAUCUCUGGGAAUAAUGUAAUUUCAGUUGGUUUUGGGAGCAAUCUUGCUUCACAGAAUGAUAAAGCUGUGACUAGCGGUGAGCAAGAAGGGAGUUCUGGAAGCUGUUUACUCAUUUCAUCUUGCAAUGAACAAUGUGUUGUUGAAAACACAAAUAAGAGUCCAUCUUGGACACUGGAUGGACCUUUUCAAGGAAAAACAUUUGAAAGCCAUAUGUUUGCUUCGUCUGUUAAUGAGCAAAAAUCUCGUUUUGGCAAUAAUAUGAAUAAAGCUUCUACUAGUGCAGUGGAGGGGCUUAAGCUUGAUGACGUCAGUAACCGUAAGAAUCUUGAGUUAAAUAUUGCUUUUGACAGGAAUGAAACUGGUGUAGAUGCGGAUACUACUGCUUGCAGUCAGCAGGAAAGAUGUUUCAAAGGCUCUUUACCUGUUUUAUCUGCAGAUGAGCAUAGAUAUGUUUUAAAAGAUUUUGACAUCUGCAAUAGUACAUUGGAGGAGCUUAAACAGGCAAGAGGAGUGUCUGAAAGGGGUUUACUUAGACAGUCUGGUUACGAACAAAACCAUGAUAAUAUAAACAAUGUGAAUAAGGUUUCCGGUAGCUCAAUAGAAGAGGCUGAACAUAAGAAAGUUAAGAGCUUUUGGGACACUGAAGUUUUUCUUUCUUUUGGCACCCACGAAGGAAUGGAUGAAGACGUGACAUGCACUAUGCAGGGACCAAGUUCUGAAGGUUGUUCCCUUGUUCUUUCUGGGAAUGAACAAACAUUUUCCACUGAUAACAAGGUAACUGAUGUUUAUAGUAGCACAGUGGGGGAGCUUAAACAUGAAAGAGGUUCUAAAAACAGCUUUCCUUGUCCAUCUGCUUUUGAUCAAAUUGAAAAUAAGUUGAAUGGGGUCUGUAUGAGCAGAGUGUGGAAGUGGCACAGGUCAGAAGACAUGGAGAAGCCUAGGGAUGACGCAGUAAUGAUUGAUUUUGAGGAUCUUGCCCAAUCAAAUGAGAAUUCUGUGGCAGAGCCUAUGUGGAGAACUACUGAACAAAAUAUCCAGCCGAGUGGUUUAGCCAAUACUUCAUCUCCACUGGUGGAAUCAUCUGGAUGUUUUCCGCUCUUUGAUGUAAUGUCAAGCAAGGGUGGAGACAAAUUUUUCAGUGCUAAUGAGAGAUUUGACAGAAAAUCAGGUUUGGACGGGCUAAGAUCAAGUAGGACAGGAAAUCCAGAACACAAUUUCCUGACAUCACAGGGAAGCUCUCAACCAGAGGAAUCAAAGGUUUUGUCAUAUGAUGUAGAGAUGGAGGAUUUAGAUUCCUCUUAUUGGCUUAAAAAGGAAGCUUUGCCUUUGUUGCCAAAGUUAGCGGGCAGGCAUCAGGUCAGGACCAUGUGUGUCUGGUGCAGAAAUGAGUUUUAUCUAGAAUCUGUCAACUCUGAAAUGCAAUCAGGUUCAGUGGGUUUUAUGUGCGCAACCUGCAAUGCUAAGUACUCCAGGCAAGUCAAUCUACUGUAGUUGUCAACGUGACAUCCUUGCUUCUGUAAGGAUGUGCUUCUCAUAUACCCAACCUCCUCUGAAGAAUAAUAUUUUAGCUACAAGGCAAUGGCAGACACUGGUUGGAAGACAACAAUGGUAUAUUGAUAGACUUGUCAGUUUACACAUGGUGGUCCUAUGCAUGAGCCUGAUUUUGCUAAUCCGGUAUGGUGCUCUCUUUUGUUUCUUGCUGGAGAUCACUCAGCGCAUAAUUCAUUUUUCUGCUUUACCCAUUGGGUCCAAAUGAUUGUUUAUCAGAAUACUGACGACAGAGUUAUUGGGUUCCUUUAUUCGAGGACCCGUCUUUUACCCCACAAGGAAAAAAAAAAAGGAUUGCCAAGUGUAUGGUGAAUGAUUUUUUGGGCUGACCCAGGGAAAAGUACUUGCAUAACCUUUUUGCUCUUUAAGUGAGCUCUACAAAGUCCAAACUAGCUACUUACAGGAC